GGGCUAACGCUAGAGACCAAGAAAGGAGGAGGAUCAGCCGUUUUUCUAAUGGGGAACCUAGACACAAACCCUUUCUUCUUCAUGGAAAACCCCUAGAAAAGCUAAGACAAAAAUAGCCGCAUAAACCAAAAUUAGACAACCAGCCCCCCAGAACUUCAGCUUCUACUUCACAAAAGAACGCUAGGCUUCUUCUUCAUGAAGGACUAACCUAAAAAACUUACAAGAAACAAGAGCAGCAUCCAUUUUCCAUGGAGCCAAAGCUUCUUCUUCUUCAUUGACACGAAUCUCAAGAGGCUCCACUCAAUGCUAUUUGGAAUAGAAGUAGCUCUCGAAAGGAAGGAUUUAGUUCUGCAACAGUACUUGGAUUAGGACCCAUCGUCUUUCUUGAUUCACAUUCUCAGUCCGACGUCGACGAUGCCUUCAUUCAUCCAAUUCGCUAUGAAGUUUUGUCUAAGUGUCGACGCUCUCUCAUUACUGAAUCCGACCGCCAUGCCUUUGAACAAGCAGACAGAGAUCCAAGCUGCAUAUUUACCAAAGGAAAAGAUAUCGAUAUCGAGAAGAUUAAGCAGUCUUAGUACUUUCUUUCCUUUUUUCAGCAACAUGAAUGCAUAACUAUUGGCGAACAGGGGAAUCAAUCAAAAAGGCGUGAGAAUGUGAGUAGCAGGAGGCUUAGCCCAGUUGCUUCGAGUUUGGGUGUGGAGUUUUCCGGUGCUAAUUCGAGUUCCGUCCGCGGUUUGUUACAUCUCGAGUUCAAAGUAGUGAAACAAUCAAUUGUCCGGCUAUAUUAAGAUGUGGAUCUACUUACCAGAGUUUGAGCAUGACAAACACCCCAGAACCAUCUGGUCAGGACCGUUGCAUCCAGGAGUUGCUUAAAGAGAAAUUUUUUAUAUUUUGAGUUUGUUUCUUUUUUAUGUUGUCUUGUACUAUAGUUAUAUUCAGUAGCAAUGAUUCUUUUAGUUGGUGUCGGAGUUUGUCGUAGUAUAGUUGAAUUGAGUCUCUCUUUAUCAUAUUUCCUAUUUUGUAUUUGAAAAUCAAAAAAAGUUGUAAAUGAAUAAUCCAAAAAGACUUUUUUUAGUUUAA